CGCAGACGAACGCUGGCGGCGUGCCUAAUACAUGCAAGUCGAACGAACUCUGGUAUUGAUUGGUGCUUGCAUCAUGAUUUACAUUUGAGUGAGUGGCGAACUGGUGAGUAACACGUGGGAAACCUGCCCAGAAGCGGGGGAUAACACCUGGAAACAGAUGCUAAUACCGCAUAACAACUUGGACCGCAUGGUCCGAGUUUGAAAGAUGGCUUCGGCUAUCACUUUUGGAUGGUCCCGCGGCGUAUUAGCUAGAUGGUGGGGUAACGGCUCACCAUGGCAAUGAUACGUAGCCGACCUGAGAGGGUAAUCGGCCACAUUGGGACUGAGACACGGCCCAAACUCCUACGGGAGGCAGCAGUAGGGAAUCUUCCACAAUGGACGAAAGUCUGAUGGAGCAACGCCGCGUGAGUGAAGAAGGGUUUCGGCUCGUAAAACUCUGUUGUUAAAGAAGAACAUAUCUGAGAGUAACUGUUCAGGUAUUGACGGUAUUUAACCAGAAAGCCACGGCUAACUACGUGCCAGCAGCCGCGGUAAUACGUAGGUGGCAAGCGUUGUCCGGAUUUAUUGGGCGUAAAGCGAGCGCAGGCGGUUUUUUAAGUCUGAUGUGAAAGCCUUCGGCUCAACCGAAGAAGUGCAUCGGAAACUGGGAAACUUGAGUGCAGAAGAGGACAGUGGAACUCCAUGUGUAGCGGUGAAAUGCGUAGAUAUAUGGAAGAACACCAGUGGCGAAGGCGGCUGUCUGGUCUGUAACUGACGCUGAGGCUCGAAAGUAUGGGUAGCAAACAGGAUUAGAUACCCUGGUAGUCCAUACCGUAAACGAUGAAUGCUAAGUGUUGGAGGGUUUCCGCCCUUCAGUGCUGCAGCUAACGCAUUAAGCAUCC
rnacentral:rRNA from 1 species